GAUGAACGCUGGCGGCGUGCCUAAUACAUGCAAGUCGAGCGAACGGACGAGAAGCUUGCUUCUCUGAUGUUAGCGGCGGACGGGUGGGUAACACGUGGAUAACCUACCUAUAAGACUGGGAUAACUUCGGGAAACCGGAGCUAAUACCGGAUGAUAUUUUGAACCGCAUGGUUCAAAAGUGAAAGACGGUCUUGCUGUCACUUAUAGAUGGAUCCGCGCUGCAUUAGCUAGUUGGUAAGGUAACGGCUUACCAAGGCAACGAUGCAUAGCCGACCUGAGAGGGGGAUCGGCCGCACUGGAACUGAGACACGGUCCAGACUCCUACGGUAGGCAGCAGUAGGGAAUCGUCCGCAGUGGGCGGAAGCCUGACGGAGCAACGCCGCGUGAGUGAUGAAAGUCUUCGGAUCGUAAAACUCUGUUAUUAGGGAAGAACAUAUGUGUAAGUAACUGUGCACAUCUUGACGGUACCUAAUCAGAAAGCCACGGCUAACUACGUG
rnacentral:rRNA from 1 species